UACGGAGGAUCCGAGCGUUAUCCGGAUUUAUUGGGUUUAAAGGGAGCGUAGGCGGAUGUUUAAGUCAGUUGUGAAAGUUUAAGGCUCAACCUUGAAAUUGCAGUUGAUACUGGACGUCUUGAGUGCAUUAAAUGUGGGCGGAAUUCGUGGUGUAGCGGUGAAAUGCUUAGAUAUCACGAAGAACUCCAAUUGCGAAGGCAGCUCACAGGACUGUAACUGACGCUGAUGCUCGAAAGUGUGGGUAUCAAAC
rnacentral:rRNA from 1 species